rnacentral:lncRNA from 1 species
UGAUAAAUUGGACUUUACUAAAAUUUUAAAAGUCUUCUUUUCAAAAGACAGAGUUAAGAGAAUUAAAAGACAAAGCACAGACUUAAAAAGCAUUUACAAGACAUGUCUUGUAAUAUAAUUUUAUCCAAAAUUAACCAUGAACACUUAAAAUUCAGGAAUCAAAAAGCAACCCAAUUAAUACAUGGGCAGAAUAACUGUAUAGACACUUGAUUAAAUAGAAUAUAGGCAGAUGGCAAGUAGGGGUAUAUGGGGAAAUGUUCAACUUCAUUUGUUAUUAAGUUAAUGCACAUUAUACAACCAUAAGAUGUGAAACAGAUAAUUCCAAUUCCUAGUGAGAAUGCUAUGUGAUGGGAACUUAAAUUCAUUGCUAGUGGGAAUGCAAAAUGGUACAGCCACUUUGCAAGAAAGUAUGGCUGAUUCUUAUAAAGCUAAACAUAGUUUUACUAUAUAAUUCAGCAAUCAAAUGCCUACUUAUUUACCUAACUGAAUUGAAAGUUUAUGUGUGUAUACACACAUACACACACUCAUGCAUCCCUUGCCCAUGAAUGUUUCUAGCAGCUUUAUUUAUAAUUGGCAAAACAUUGAGUAAAGAAGAUGCCCUUCAACAGGUGAAUGGAUACAAAAAAAAGCUGUGACACAACUGUACAUCAGAGGAAAAGUACAAGUUAGCAAUCCAUUCAAAGAAACAUACGAAUCUUAAAUCCUAUUUCUAAGUAAGAGAAGCCAGUCUUAGAAGGCUAUGUAAUUUAUGCUUCCAUUUAUACGACAUUCUAGAAAAGACAGAACUAAAUAGAUUUGUGGUUGACAGGGAUUUAAGGGAAAGCAGAAUAUGUAAAGCAUAGGAAAAUUUUACAGGUAGUGAAACUAUUCUGCAUGAUACCAUAAUAGUGAAUAUGUGAUACUGUACAUUUGUCAAAACCCAUAGAAUUUUACAAAAGAGUGAAUCUUAAUAUGCAAAUUAAAAAUAUUUAGGAAGUCAGGGGAUCACAGAAUAGAAUACAGAAGGUGACAAGAUAAUCUAACUAAUGGCGACGUGUGAAACAACUUUGCUGAUGUGAGAGUAGAGGAAAAGGUUCUGACCUAAAUAACUAUGGAAACAAGUGCAGUUUGUAAAGUGAAAGCUGGAAGUAACUGCACAUAAAUGCUGUAUUCUAGUUGAUAAAGUUACCCCCCCAUGCAAAUAUGAGUUAAUCUGAAACUACUUUACAUGUGGGCUGGAAGUGAACAAUUAAUUAAAUGGAUGGAGGAUGGUGGGAUCCCCAUUUCUCACUGUUAGAGUGAGAAUGUACAAAUAAGCAACAGUGGUAGAUUAAAAUAACCGAAGAGCUAAUGGGUUACAGAUAUCAAUGUUAACUCAUUGCUAGUUUAAUACAAAUACAAAUAGAUACAUAUAGAUACAGAUAGACAUAGAUAUAGUUAUCAAAUGCAUAUAACAAGGAUUAGUAAACACACACAUAUCCUCUCGCUCUGUCAGCUGAGAAGGUCUAGAAGCAAAGACACAACAGUAUCACUGGUAUACCCUCCAUCCAGAUCUUGGCUUUCUAGUACCAUUCUCUAAUAAAAAGAACCAGGAUUCAUUAGAGAAAUGGCUGACUCUGAAACCACGGCAUAAGAUUCAUGAGAUGAGCCUGGGGCAUCUUAUAGUGCCAGAAAGUACAGAUGUGCUUUAAAAGUUUAAUGAUGAGGGUAUGUCAAAAAGACAGAGGACAAAUGAAAGUGCCUCUAGUGGCCAAAGCUGGAACACCUUGAGCAACAGAUAAGACAGAAUUAGAUUACAGUCAAGUCAAUAUUCAUGUGUCCAUACAGAUAUAAAUAAAGGAUUAAUUACAUAAACAGGGAGAAUAGGUCCAUUCCUCAUGCAGAAUAAUUCCAAAUAAUUUAUACUGAUACCAUCCCUUCAAAGAAGUAGGACAUAAUUCCCCAGUCCUUGAAUAUGGGCCACACAUAGUGACUUCAGAGUGCAUUAUGGAAAGGGUUUACUUUAUACUACAGAAACCAAACAAACCUUACCUAAGCUAGGUAAUCAAGAUUAACAUCAACAGUAAUAAAGUAUCUUGAUAGUAGGCACCUAAAGUGUAAUGUGAUGAGAAUAACACUUCGGUUGUGAGCUUCCUCUCCAAAACCAACAAUACCAGUCUAAUCAUGAAAAGAACAUCAGACCAAUCCAAAUUCAUGGACAUUCUACAAAAUUCCUAUCCGGAACUCCUCAAAACUGGCAAGGUCAUCAUCAAGUUAGGUCUGAGACUCUGUCAUAGAAAAGAGAACUCUAAGGAAACAUAAUGACUAAAUCUAAGUCAAAAACUGGAUGGGAUCCUGAAUCAGAAAAGACAAAAAGUUGGUGAAAACUAAGAGACUGGAAUAAAGAAUCAAUUUAAUAAUAGAUGAAUAUUGGCUUUUUUUUUAAUGGUGACAAAGGUUAACAAACAAGGUAAGUGGUUAAGUGAGGAAACUGGCCUUUGGUUACAUGGGAAAUGGGAAUGCUCUCUACUUCACAACUUUUCUAGAAAUCUAAAUCUGUUCUAAAGUUAAAAAGUUUAAUUUAAAAAGGAGGUUGUAAAACUUUAUAUUAGCACAUAAAAUGGGGUUCUUUAUCACUGUGAUUUCUUAAAUGCCACUCUAGCUUAUUAUUUGCCUCUGGUAGGAAACGGAGUCAAAGCUGAGAUCAAUAUGAUGAGUAUCUGUUCUAGUCUGGUAUAACUAAGUAAAGAAUACUCUAAAAUAUGUAGAGUAAAGGGGGAAAAGUUAAUGGAAAAGAGAAAAUACCACAGAUUUUUCUAAUUUUAAAAUGAUGUAAGAGGUCACUUUAUUUCUGCCCUUUUUAACUACUUGAUAUUUAAAAUUCCUUGGUUUUCAAGUUUUUAGAAAUUAUUCAAUUAAAUCUCAAGCAUGAAGUGAGUUCUUAAAGGCCAGAAAAAAGCUGCAGGAGGGUGAGUAUGCAUGGAAAAAAUGUUAAUAAUAACAUACAGCUGUCAUUUUCAAAAUUCUUUCUUACAGAAUCUCCUCCAAUCAUCACAAUAUUCUUCUCUGCUAGGAUAGGUGUACUAUUUCCAGUGUAUUUCAAACUAAAUGUGACAUAAUACAUGUGGAAGAUAGGGGAUUCAACUUUAAGGAUUUAGGAAAAGCUCUUAGAGUUAGCAUAGUAUAUUUACAAACAUUAUCUAGCUUCUGCAUCUCAUGGCUGGAGACAUGGAUCUUGGUAGAAUUCUUCACCCAUAGUCCACUUGAUAACAGUGAUUUACCUGAGUAAGUCUCUAUUUCUCACAAGAAGGAUAGAAAUGCUAGAGAAAUGCCUCACAGUUUCAAGGCUAUGAUUAACACUUAUGGGAAGAAAGGUGAAGCAACUAGCUAGUAAUUAUCAAUGCACUGCACUAUUCUACAUCUCUAUCAAGAACUUGACUUUUCUGAUCAAGGACCUUACAGCACUGUCAGCCAUGAGCUCUCACAGUCACGAUGAGACUGUAAGUUUUGACAUGAUCCAAAAGGCAUCAUUUAUAUGCUACGUCAAUUGCAGGGAAAAUGUUAUAGUCAGAUGAUAAUCACAAAUCCUUAUAAACUUACAUGCUGAAUUCUAAUUUCACUAUUUACAGAGAGAAACAUUUUAUUAGUAAUACAGAUACUCUGAUUAUAAUAUGAUAGAAUUCUCUACUGUUAAUGAUUGAAUGGACUGACUUUAUAGGAAUAACAAAGUUCAACACGGCUAUAGAAACUAGUAAAUUCCAUAUAGAGUUAACACUGACAAAGACUAGAACAUCUUUUUAGCUCUUGUUAAAUAAGUUUUGCAAUAUUUCUUCAAAUAUACAUCCUGUACACAAUGUAUGGGACUAAGAGAGAAUAUUUUUCUUCAUAUAGUAUCUUGAAUUGGGGUUUAAUACAUCAUUAAUGUUUAGCAUACCUUAUAUUUAUCAAAUAAUGUAUAAUUAAGAAUAGAUAUGAUCCAGCAAUCUGAUUCCUAGGCAUAUAUCCAGGCAAAGCUACAAUUCAAAAAGAUACAUGCAUCCGUAUGUCCAUAGCAGCAUUAUUCACACUAGCUAAGAUGUAGAAACAACCUAAAUGUCCAUUGACAGAUGGAUGGAUUAAGAAUAUGUGGAACAUAUGCAAAAUGGAAUACUACUCAACCAUAAAAAUACAACAAAAUAAUGCCAUUUGUAGAAACAUGAAUGUAACCAGAGAUUCUCGUACCAAAUAAAGUAAGUCAGAAAGAGAAAGACAAAUACUAUGUGAUAUCCCUUACAUUUAGAAUCUAAAAUAUGGCACAAAUGAACCUAUCUACAGAAUAGAAACAGACUCAAAGACAUGAGAACAGAUGAUUGCCAAGGGGAAGGGGGAGGAAGUGGGAUGAACAGGGAGUUUGGGCUUGGUAGAUGCAAACUAUUACAUUUAGAAUGGAUAAGCAAUGAGGUCCUGCUGUAUAGCACAGGGAACUAUACCCAAUCACUUGUGACAGAAUAUGAUGGAAGAUAAUAUAAGAUAUAUAAGAUAAGAUAUAUAAUCUAUAUAUGUACAUAUGAUUGGGUCACUUGGCCUUACAACAAAAAUUUACAGAACAUUGUGAAUCAACUAUAAUUUAAUGAAAAAUGAAAAACAAAACAAAAACAAAAAGGAAAUUAGACUAAAAUAAUUGAAAUAUUACACACUAAUCUCUGGCUACUUAAAAUUAAUUACACUUCAAUAACUUUCAUGAUGCUUUCUUUGUACUUUUAAGAGUUUUAAAAAGUACUUUUAUCAUGUUUUAAUUUUAGGAACUCCACUUAUAUGUUUAAAUCAUGUUUGACACAGUAACCCUUACCUUAAUAGGCUUUAAUUAUUUUAUAUAAACAUUUAUAUAUUUUUUCAACAAAAUGUGUUGAGAUCAAAUAUUUAUUUUUAAAAAACCAUACUUGUCAGAAUGGCUAGUAAUCAAAAAGUCUACAAAUAAUAAAAGCUAGAAAGGGUGUGGAGAACAGGGAACCCUUCUACAGUGUUGGUGAGAAUGUACAUUGGUGCAGCCACGGUAUCAGUAUGAAGACUCCUUAAAAAACUCAAAAUAGAGUUACCAUAUGAUCCAGCAAUCCCACCCCUGGGCAAAUAUCUGGAAAUAAUGAAAAGUCUAAUUCAAAAAGAUACAUUCACGCGUAUGUUCACAGCAGCACUAGUCACAAUAGCCAAGUCAUGGAAGAAACUGAAAUGUCCACUGACAGAGGAAUGGAUAAAGAAGAUGUGGUGCAUACAUGCAAUGGAAUAUCACUCAGCCAUAAAAAGAAUGAAAUAAUGACAUUUGCGGCACUAUGAAUGGACCUAUAGAAAUGAUCUAUGCUAAGUGAAGUCAAAAACAAAUAUCAUAUGAUAUCAUUUACAUGUGGAAUCUAAGAAAUGAUACAAAUGAACUUAUCUACAAAGCAGAAAUAGACUCACAGGUGUUCUCUUUGUGGCACAGCAUUAACGAAUCUGGCUAGUAUCCCUGAGGAUGCAGGUUUGAUCCCUGGCCUCACUCACUGGGUUAAGAAUCUGGCAUUGCCACGAGCUGUGGUGUAGGUUGCAGAUGUGGCUCGGAUCCAGAGUUGCUGUGGCUGUGCUAUAGGCUGUGUUAAUUCAUACAGAUAGUAUGAAUUAAAGUAGUAUUAAACUGAGGAAAAUGUCUUAUUUCUUUAAGGAAUUUGUUUUAGUCAGUUUUAUAUACUGGUGCUUUUAUUAAGCUAUUUACAUUCCAAAUGACCUGAGAAUUUUAUUUUCUAUGCUUGACUUUCACAAGCCUUCUAAAAGAAAAAUCUCUUGUUUAACUUCAGUCACUAUUACAAGGGUUUUUUAAAUGCCACAUUUGUUAUGUGUAUUUCUGAACAACUAUCAGUUUUAGUUUGUCCUAACAUUUAACAAUAGAUCUACUUUUAAUUGUUAAAGAAACUAAACAAUCCCAUUUUAUGUGAAAAAAAUUAUGGGUAGAUAAACCAUUAUUUCAAGUCAUGUGUAACUGUGAUAUUUAUCUAAGGGGUAAGUCUGUUUUUUAGAAAAAGCUAUACAAAAUUUCUAUAGAGGUGAUAAGUCAGAGAAUUAUGAAGCAAAGGAUAUUAGACAAAAAUAAGAUCUUCAAGGCAUUAGAAUCCCAGAAUUCUUAAAAUGGUCUGAAUAAUGGCAACCUUUGAGUAUUUGAUUAAAAACUAUGUUCUCUC